rnacentral:rRNA from 1 species
ACGAUGAAGCCCUGCUUGCAGGGUGGAUUAGUGGCGAACGGGUGAGUAACACGUGAGUAACCUGCCCCCGACUCUGGGAUAAGCCCGGGAAACUGGGUCUAAUACCGGAUAUGACUUCCUACUGCAUGGUGGGUUGUUGAAAGAUUUAUCGGUGGGGGAUGGACUCGCGGCCUAUCAGCUUGUUGGUGAGGUAAUGGCUCACCAAGGCGACGACGGGUAGCCGGCCUGAGAGGGUGACCGGCCACACUGGGACUGAGACACGGCCCAGACUCCUACGGGAGGCAGCAGUGGGGAAUAUUGCACAAUGGGCGGAAGCCUGAUGCAGCGACGCCGCGUGAGGGAUGACGGCCUUCGGGUUGUAAACCUCUUUCAGUAGGGAAGAAGCGAAAGUGACGGUACCUGCAGAAGAAGCGCCGGCUAACUACGUGCCAGCAGCCGCGGUAAUACGUAGGGCGCAAGCGUUAUCCGGAUUUAUUGGGCGUAAAGAGCUCGUAGGCGGUUUGUCGCGUCUGCCGUGAAAGUCCGAGGCUCAACCUCGGAUCUGCGGUGGGUACGGGCAGACUAGAGUGAUGUAGGGGAGACUGGAAUUCCUGGUGUAGCGGUGAAAUGCGCAGAUAUCAGGAGGAACACCGAUGGCGAAGGCAGGUCUCUGGGCAUUUACUGACGCUGAGGAGCGAAAGCAUGGGGAGCGAACAGGAUUAGAUACCCUGGUAGUCCAUGCCGUAAACGUUGGGCACUAGGUGUGGGGGACAUUCCACGUUUUCCGCGCCGUAGCUAACGCAUUAAGUGCCCCGCCUGGGGAGUACGGCCGCAAGGCUAAAACUCAAAGGAAUUGACGGGGGCCCGCACAAGCGGCGGAGCAUGCGGAUUAAUUCGAUGCAACGCGAAGAACCUUACCAAGGCUUGACAUGUGCCAGACCGCUCCAGAGAUGGGGUUUCCCUUCGGGGCUGGUUCACAGGUGGUGCAUGGUUGUCGUCAGCUCGUGUCGUGAGAUGUUGGGUUAAGUCCCGCAACGAGCGCAACCCUCGUUCCAUGUUGCCAGCACGUAGUGGUGGGGACUCAUGGGAGACUGCCGGGGUCAACUCGGAAGAAAGGUGGGGAUGACGUCAAAUCAUCA